rnacentral:tRNA from 1 species
GACUUAAAAUUCGUUGGCUUUAUAGACCGUGAGGUUCGAGUCCCUCUACCCCCA